rnacentral:rRNA from 2 species
UUGACCUCAAAUCGGGUGAGACUACCCGCUGAACUUAAGCAUAUCAAUAAGCGGAGGAAAAGAAACUAACAAGGAUUCCCCUAGUAACUGCGAGUGAAGCGGGAAAAGCUCAAAUUUAAAAUCUGGUGGUCUUUGGCCAUCCGAGUUGUAAUUUAGAGAAGCGUCUUCCGCGCCGGACCGUGCACAAGUCUCCUGGAACGGAGCGUCGUAGAGGGUGAGAAUCCCGUCUUUGGCAUGGACCCACCGGGGCUUUUGUGAUGCGCUCUCGAAGAGUCGAGUUGUUUGGGAAUGCAGCUCAAAAUGGGUGGUGAACUCCAUCUAAAGCUAAAUAUUGGCGAGAGACCGAUAGCGAACAAGUACCGUGAGGGAAAGAUGAAAAGCACUUUGGAAAGAGAGUGAAACAGUACGUGAAAUUGUUGAAAGGGAAACGCUUGAAGUCAGUCGCGUCUACCGAGACUCAGCCUCGCCUCGGCUUGGCGUACUUCUCGGCCGACGGGUCAGCAUCAGUUUCGCCUCUUGGAUAAUGGCGGGGGAAAAGUGACACCUUUUACGGUGUGUUAUAGUCUCUCGUCGCAUGCAAGGGUCGGGAUUGAGGAACUCAGCACGCGCCUUUGGGCGUCGGGGCUUCGCCCACGAUACGU